UGGGGAAUUUUGGACAAUGGGCGAAAGCCUGAUCCAGCAAUGCCGCGUGUGUGAAGAAAGCCUUCGGGUUGUAAAGCACUUUUGUCCGGAAAGAAAUCCUUGGCUCUAAUACAGUCGGGGGAUGACGGUACCGGAAGAAUAAGCACCGGCUAACUACGUGCCAGCAGCCGCGGUAAUACGUAGGGUGCAAGCGUUAAUCGGAAUUACUGGGCGUAAAGCGUGCGCAGGCGGUUUGCUAAGACCGAUGUGAAAUCCCCGGGCUCAACCUGGGAACUGCAUUGGUGACUGGCAGGCUAGAGUAUGGCAGAGGGGGGUAGAAUUCCACGUGUAGCAGUGAAAUGCGUAGAGAUGUGGAGGAAUACCGAUGGCGAAGGCAGCCCCCCUGGGCCAAUACUGACGCUCAUGCACGAAAAGCGUGGGGAGCAAAACAGGAUUAGAUACCCUGGUAGUCCACGCCCUAAAACGAUGUCAACUAGUUGUUGGGGAUUCAUUUCCUUAGUAACGUAGCUAACGCGUGAAGUUGACCGCCUGGGGAGUACGGUCGCAAGAUUAAAACUUAAAGGAAUUGACGGGGUCAUAGCUGUUUCCU
rnacentral:rRNA from 1 species